GCUUGAAUAUGCGUAGGAGGGUGGUCGAAGUAAGCAUCGCCCCUCCUUCCUGUUUCUCUCCCUGGCUGGAGACAGAAAAGCUCUUUCACCUCGCCAGCAUGUCUGUGUAUCAGCACGGCGCAUCCACAGUGCCUGCCUGUAUCCUUCUACCUCCGUGGCCUUACUAACAAGGGCAGGCGUGUCAUCAACACUCAAACAGCAGCAUGAACCCAGCGAGAGGACUUGGAUGUUGCUGACAGAAAUGUGCACAUAGCGUGGACUUGAAAAGACAGUCCCAUGGGCCAUAGUGGAGGGUCAACAACAGAGUGGAGAUGUUCAAAGAGAGGCCUCCUCCAGGUCAGUCACCUGUUCCAACCCUUUAAUCCCAGCUGCUCUGCUGUAGUUGAUGUGGUGUGUUAGGCCACCAAGGUAAAGAUGAGGCUCCAUGAGUCAGACAAGUAUUUCACCAAACCACCAAGAGACAUGAGGGAGUCAGUUGCUUAUCACUAACGUGUAGUUCUUGUAGUAUCUGAUGAUCAUUUCCUUUAAAGGAUCCAUCUUUAAUUGAAACAAUAUCAAAGCGUCCCCCUGCCUCUGUUUUGGUAAAAGGCCAGGGGUUGAGUUAAUGCAGAAUACUUUUGUGUUUUUUAGGCAUUUUUCACGCAUACAAAAAAGAUCAAACGGAUAAUAAAUAUCUUGUUGCGUUUUGAAAACACAGAUAUAACAUGCUUCUUAUUGUCAUUUCUGCUCAGCAUCAGACUCAUUUUGUGCUUCAGUAGCAAUUCUUCAGUCGGAUGAGAAUUCACAAACAGGCGUCCUAUCAACAGACAGUGGCUCUGACUGAUAUGUACUAACUUUUCUCUGGUACUUGUCUCCUUGUAGCCUAGUUUUCUCCUGUAAAAUGCAAGAGUAACUUCAAUCAAAACAUCAGGACAUGUAGCAGGCUACAUUCUUUCUAUGAUAGACACUGUUCCUAGGCAGUCUUUGAAAAUAAGAAUUUGUUCUUAGCUGGCUUGCCUAGUUAAAUAAAGGUAAAAUAAAACAAAAUACAAAUUUGAAAUAUAAUGGCCAUGCAUCGUUUUUGCAAAAAAUACAUAGGUUUUUAAUUGUAAUCUCAUUUACUUGUGUGGCUGGUUGCCAAAUAGCGUUGCACUUCUGUUGUCUGAUGAAAGGGAAGCUAUUGUCUGCAGAACGUGUUGUACUAAUGUAUUUCUGUGAAUGAAAACUAGAGUUGCAUGUACCUGAUCACUCUGUUGAAGCAGAAAAACAGUGUUGACUAUCCAUUUAAAAUGCAGGUGAAAUGGGUUUAAAACACAGAUUUUUUGAUGGUGUGUUUUGAAAAUUGAUGGAUGGGCCCUGAGAAAUGUAACCACUCUCAAAUUCAUAGAAAGAGGUAUGGAUGUAAGGACUGACCAGCCAUGAUGUCAACAUGAUCGGUGUGUUUGUUUACAUGUAUAUUGUUUACAAACAUUGGGAUAAAACAAACUUAUAUUCUGGGUUCUGAUGGGGUACGACAGUUGAACUUAAGCUCAUGGGGCAUAUGAUUCAUUUGUGAGUCCAAAAAUGGAUGUAGCAACUCCACAUGUUGUUGUGGUCUCUGAGAAACAGACUGGACUUCCUGGACAUGUGGAGGCUGGAGUAGUGAUAGUCUGGUAGAUGCUGUAUUCAGAACAGUAGGUCAGAGAAGCAGACAGCAGGUACUGGAGAGACUGUAUUCAGAACAGUAGGUCAGAGAAGCAGACAGCAGGUACUGGAGAGGCUGUAUUCAGAACAGUAGGUCAGAGAAGCAGACAGUAAGUACUGUAGAGACUGUAUUCAGAACAGUAGGUCAGAGAAGCAGACAGCAGGUACUGGAGAGGCUGUAUGCAGAACAGUAGGUCAGAGAAGCAGACAGCAGGUACUGGAGAGGCUGUAUUCAGAACAGUAGGUCAGAGAAGCAGACAGCAGGUACUGGAGAGGCUGUAUUCAGAACAGUAGGUCAGAGAAGCAGACAGCAGGUACUGGAGAGGCUCUAAGCACAUUCAAGUUGUUUCUGGAAUUACAUGCCCAAGGUCAUCUGCCGAAUGUGUGUGUGUGUGUUUACUUUAUGCCACAGUUCAACAGCGAGGGAAUGUUAAAAGCCUUUUUAUGGAUCUAUGGCAGCACGUGUGUGUGUGUGUAUGUGUGUGUGUGUGUGUGUGUGUGUGUGUGUGUGUGUGUGUGUGUGUGUGUGUGUGUGUAUAAAUCAGAGAGAAGUGUGUGUUUAGCAGUCUGGAUGUGUCCUCUAAUGCCACGAGACUCCCCACACACGGCACGUGCCCAGAACUCUUUAUCCCCGCUGCAGUGUCUCCUCUCCCCUCCCAUUCCUUACCAACACUCAGGCAACUGGGCUGCUGUGAGAGUCACCUUGGCUCCGUAUGCCAGCACAGCUGCAUCUCCCUCCUCAUGGCUAGAUCCAAGAUGGCACCCAGUUUCUCCCUGCAGUGACCUGCUUCUCUCACACCUCUGCAGAGGCAGUUGCCCUGACAACGUCAACGACAGCCUGCUAUUGGUUGAAACCCUCUGCAAACGGACAGCCUUGGUGAUUAUGUCAUGCAGAGACAGCUUCUCUGUGUUAUUGUGAGGAGGACAAUGUUUAUGUAAUUGGUGCCAGGGAAGGCACGUCCAAGGAAUUGUUUAGGGUACCCAAUAAUGCAGUAGCACGUUGAAGAUGUACUGUAUCCAAUUCCCAAUAUCAUCAUAUGAAUCACUUUAUUACAGUGACUUGUAAUGUUAUUUAACAUGACUAAAGUUAAUCAGCGGAAUCAGAGUCGUGUAGCCUAAAGGUUCAGGGGCAUAACGUUCUGAUGCCCCCUACAUUCAAACAAUUGGUCUUUAGCCUGUUGAAAGGAAAUACAACGUUCCGUCAUUAGACUUGGCGACAGGCUCUGAUGAAGAUGCUGCUACUUCAGGUUCCAGUCAUUUACAGUGUGGUAACGGCACCAUCAGCAUCUCAUUCAUAGUGACAUGAAGGCACCGCUUACAGCAUCACAGAGAGAGUGGAGCUGGCAGCACAGCAUCACAGAGAGAGUGGAGCUGGCAGCACAGCAUCACAGCCAAUGACCUCAGUGGUUCUGCAGCAGAGAGAGAAGUGAGAGAGAGAGAGAGAGAGAAGUGAGAGAGAGAGCGGGGGAGAGGGGGAGGGGGAGAGAAGCGGUAAUGGUAUGACACACUCCUAAUCUAUAACCGGAGACGCAGACGGGACAGGACUGGACCAAGAGUGUUCGGUGCAGCUCCCGGAGCGUCUGUCUGUCUCUGCACAAGAUGCUCAGCAGAACCGGGGAAAACCUAUCGACCGAUUAACUACGUUAGAGGGCCUGUUAUGUUAAGGAAGAGAGUCAGAAUGACUAUCCCCAAAGAUAUUCCUGAAAAGUGGUUCCCCAUCGUUCUUCCACUGCAACAGAAGAAACAACAAGGACUAGCUGCUAAAACCAAGAAGACGUGGACAGGUACUUCUGUUUGCCACAGUCACGUCAGUCAUCUGUUUUAUAUGCAGUGUGUGUCUGUUUGUUCAUUGGAUGGGGAAAUGUGCUGUAGCUUCCAUCUAUAUGAUUUAUUGUGUUCUGUCUGAUGACAGACAGGAUCUCCUUGCUAUGUGAAUAAACCAUUCUACAUCUCA